rnacentral:rRNA from 1 species
CCUACGGGAGGCAGCAGUGGGGAAUUUUGGACAAUGGGCGCAAGCCUGAUCCAGCAAUGCCGCGUGCAGGAUGAAGGCCUUCGGGUUGUAAACUGCUUUUGUACGGAACGAAACGGUCUGCUUUAAUACAGUGGGCUAAUGACGGUACCGUAAGAAUAAGCACCGGCUAACUACGUGCCAGCAGCCGCGGUAAUACGUAGGGUGCGAGCGUUAAUCGGAAUUACUGGGCGUAAAGCGUGCGCAGGCGGUUAUAUAAGACAGAUGUGAAAUCCCCGGGCUCAACCUGGGACCUGCAUUUGUGACUGUAUAGCUAGAGUACGGUAGAGGGGGAUGGAAUUCCGCGUGUAGCAGUGAAAUGCGUAGAUAUGCGGAGGAACACCGAUGGCGAAGGCAAUCCCCUGGACCUGUACUGACGCUCAUGCACGAAAGCGUGGGGAGCAAACGAGGAUUAGAUACCCUGGUAGUCCACGCCCUAAACGAUGUACAACUGGUUGUUGGGUCUUCACUGACUCAGUAACGAAGCUAACGCGUGAAGUUGACCGCCUGGGGAGUACGGCCGNGAAGGUUAGAACUCGAAAGGAGUUGACGCGNGAGACGAGACGACGACGACGACGGAGGGAGGAGG